rnacentral:rRNA from 1 species
AUUGAACGCUGGCGGCAGGCCUAACACAUGCAAGUCGAACGGAGUCGCGGACGUGUGAGUUAUGUCUGGGAAACUCCGUGGUAGUGGGGGAUAACGUCCGGAAACGGGCGCUAAUACCGCAUACUAUCAGAUGAGCCGAGGUGGGAUUCGCUAGUUGGUGGGGUAAAGGCCUACCAAGGCGACGAUCCGUAACUGGUCUGAGAGGAUGAUCAGACACACUGGAACUGAGACACGGUCCAGACUCCUACGGGAGGCAGCAGUGGGGAAUAUUGGACAAUGGGCGAAAGCCUGAGCCAGCCAGGCCGCGUGUGUGAAGAAGGUCUUCGGAUUGUAAAGCACUUUAAGUUGGGAGGCGUUACCAACAGAAUAAGCACCGGCUAACUUCGUGCCAGCCGCCGCGGUAAUAC